CUUUGGCGCAAUCGUCUCCGCCGUCUGGCUGACCAUCCUCCCAUCUCUUGUCCUGCAAGCCAAUAGAACCUCCACCAUAACACACCCAGCAUUCAGCAGAGAGACAAUAAGACCUUUUAAGGAGCCGUUUUAACCCACCUCAAUCAACUUAAAGCUACGGCUAGCGACUGACUACGGCGUAACAAAAGUGACAGAACGCCUACAGGACGAAUCACGCACACCCCCGGAAGUGAUAACAAUACUACGGAGCUGUCUACCAUUCUGGUAGCUGUGUACGGCUCUGCAUUACUGUUGAGAAGAGCGCCCUCACGUGGUCAGCAUUACGAAGGGUACACGGACUGCGAACGACAAAGUCUGCAAUCCAACAUCGCUUCGAUGAACGACUGAGGAACUGCUUGAAGACACGACACUGAGAACAAGGGUUCGGCUUUUGCCAUCUGAUUAAGUGGUUAACUUUACUAUUGAGAAUAAC